CGGCGAGUGAAGCGGCAAGAGCUCAAAUUUGAAAGCUGGCCCCCUCGGGGUCCGCAUUGUAAUUUGCAGAGGAUGCUUCGGGAACGGCCCCCAUCUAAGUGCCCUGGAACGGGCCGUCAUAGAGGGUGAGAAUCCCGUCUGGGAUGGGGUGGCCGCGCCCGUGUGAAGCUCCUUCSACGAGUCGAGUUGUUUGGGAAUGCAGCUCUAAUUGGGUGGUAAAUUUCAUCUAAAGCUAAAUAUUGGCCGGAGACCGAUAGCGCACAAGUAGAGUGAUCGAAAGAUGAAAAGCACUUUGAAAAGAGAGUUAAACAGCACGUGAAAUUGUUGAAAGGGAAGCGCUUGCGACCAGACUCGCCCGCGGGGUUCAGCCGGCACUCGUGCCGGUGUACUUCCCCGCGGGCGGGCCAGCGUCGGUUUGGGCGGCCGGUCAAAGGCCUCUGGAAGGUAACGCCUCUCGGGGCGUCUUAUAGCCAGGGGUGCCAUGCGGCCUGCCCGGACCGAGGAACGCGCUUCGGCUCGGACGCUGGCAUAAUGGUCGUAAGCGACCCGUCUUGAAACACGRACCCA
rnacentral:rRNA from 1 species